CGGCUGGGUUGGUGACACUGACUGAGAUACUGUUCCUCUUCCCAGACUGGCUGGGGAACUCAAAAUGUGAAAAUUACCCACCAAAGAAAGCUUGGCAUUAAAGUCUGUGAAAUCAGGGAAGCCAAACCUGCAGUCCUGAGGUCCUGAAGGCCAGCAGAACCCAGCCCAACAUGACAAGGCUCUGCAUGAAUCCUGGAUCUCUGUGAAUAGAUGGAAUUGAAAUUGAAGGAUACCAUCCAAAUAGGUAAACACGUCAGAAACAUUAUCUGGGUCACAUUUGGGCAACAGGGUUC